rnacentral:rRNA from 1 species
CCUACGGGAGGCAGCAGUGAGGAAUAUUGGUCAAUGGGAGAGACCCUGAACCAGCCAAGCCGCGUGAGGGAAGACGGCACUAUGGGUUGUAAACCUCUUUUGUCGGGGAACAAAACCCGGGACGUGUCCCGGACUGCGUGUAUCCGAAGAAAAAGCAUCGGCAAACUCCGUGCCAGCAGCCGCGGUAAUACGGAGGAUGCGAGCGUUAUCCGAAUGUAUUGGGUUUAAAGGGUGCGUAGGCGGUCCGUUAAGUCAGCGGUAAAAGCGCGGGGCUCAACCCCGGCGAGCCGUUGAAACUGGGAGACUUGAGUUGGCGAGAGGUACGCGGAAUGCGCGGUGUAGCGGUGAAAUGCAUAGAUAUCGCGCAGAACUCCGAUUGCGAAGGCAGCGUACCGGCGCCAGACUGACGCUGAGGCACGAAAGCGUGGGGAUCGAACAGGAUUAGAUACCCUUGUAGUC